rnacentral:RNase_MRP_RNA from 1 species
GUGUAGGUGGUUGCGGCUAAGCAUCGGGGUCACUCAACGGGCUCUUCUGUAGCCCCUGUAUAAUUACCCUGGGACAAACUCCCCGGACCAACUCUGUCAGAGAGUGAAUCUGCUAAGUCAGGCGGCCUCAAUUAGGCGCCUUGCUUCUGUAACGGCGCCGAUUGGGCAAUGUCAAUUGGCUUCUAGCCGACAGUUAUCUUGGCGAAAUCUCAAUGGGGGUCAAUGCGCUGCCUACA